GUUCUAACUUAGACCCAUUAUCUGGGUUGAGGACAGUGCCUGGUGGGUAGUUUGACUGGGGCGGUCUCCUCCCAAAGAGUAACGGAGGAGCACGAAGGUGGGCUAAUCACGGUUGGACAUCGUGAGGUUAGUGCAAUGGCAUAAGCCCGCUUAACUGCGAGAAUGACGGUUCGAGCAGGUGCGAAAGCAGGUCAUAGUGAUCCGGUGGUUCUGUAUGGAAGGGCCAUCGCUCAACGGAUAAAAGGUACUCCGGGGAUAACAGGCUGAUACCGCCCAAGAGUUCAUAUCGACGGCGGUGUUUGGCACCUCGAUGUCGGCUCAUCACAUCCUGGGGCUGAAGUCGGUCCCAAGGGUAUGGCUGUUCGCCAUUUAAAGUGGUACGCGAGCUGGGUUUAGAACGUCGUGAGACAGUUCGGUCCCUAUCUGCCGUGGGCGUUGGAAGAUUGAAGGGGGCUGCUCCUAGUACGAGAGGACCGGAGUGGACGAACCUCUGGUGUUCGGGUUGUGUCGCCAGACGCAUUGCCCGGUAGCUAAGUUCGGAAUUGAUAAGCGCUGAAAGCAUCUAAGCGCGAAGCGAGCCCUGAGAUGAGUCUUCCCUGACAGUUUAACUGUCCUAAAGGGUUGUUCGAGACUAGAACGUUGAUAGGCAGGGUGUGUAAGCGUUGUGAGGCGUUGAGCUAACCUGUACUAAUUGCCCGUGAGGCUUAACCAU
rnacentral:rRNA from 1 species